UGGGGAAUAUUGGACAAUGGGGGGAACCCUGAUCCAGCCAUGCCGCGUGUGUGAAGAAGGUCUUAUGGUUGUAAAGCACUUUAAGCGAGGAGGAGGGUACUGGUAUUAAUACUACCAGGUACUGGACGUUACUCGCAGAAUAAGCACCGGCUAACUCUGUGCCAGCAGCCGCGGUAAUACAGAGGGUGCGAGCGUUAAGCGGAAUUACUGGGCGUAAAGCGCGCGUAGGUGGUUCGUUAAGUUGAAUGUGAAAGCCCCGGGCUCAACCUGGGGACUGCAUCCAAAACUGGCGAGCUAGAGUAGGGCAGUGGGUGGUGGAAUUUCCUGUGUAGCGGUGAAAUGCGUAGAUAUAGGCAGGAACACCAGUGGCGAAGGCGACCACCUGGGCUCAUACUGACACUGAGGUGCGAAAGCGUGGGGAGCAAACAGG
rnacentral:rRNA from 1 species